rnacentral:tmRNA from 1 species
GGGGCUGUUCCGGCUUCGACGGGUAAUCGAACAACCGAUAUAAGCACGCGGAAGGAGGCGUCUUCCUUAAAACGCCGAAAGCAAUUAAAUGCUAACAAAACAACUUCCAAGGUAAGCGCGUCCGCUUUCGGCGGCGCUCUUGCUUGCGCAGCCUAACUUUCUGCGCCGUCGGCGCGGGAUCUCACCGCCCCGCGUUCGGCGUCAACAGGUGAAACCCCCGGCGGCAACGGGCAUAGCCGCCGCUGUACGCAUGCCCUCGCGCAGAGCGUUCCGUUUGCCCACAGCGAUGCGUUAAACUUUCAGGCAAACUAAGCGUGUAGAAGGUCGCUUGCGACAUUAUUCGGACAUGGGUUCAACUCCCAUCAGCUCCACCA